GCCUACGGCCAUACCACCCUGAAAGCGCCCGAUCUCCGUCUGAUCUCGGAAGCUAAGCAGGGACGGGCUUGGUUAGUACCUGGAUGGGAGACCGCCUGGGAAUACCAGGUGUUGUAGCUU
rnacentral:rRNA from 1 species